AAAGAGCCUAAUAACAGAACCACAUUCUUUGUCACCACACGGCAUUGUCGGGCGUUUUUACAGGGUGUUCCAAAAACAAACCUCUGUCCACAUCACAGCCACUGCAUCCUUCCACGGACUCGCUCACCCACAUCGCGAUCGCCUCACACUCUUCUUCUCCAUCGACACCCACCGAAAUCCGUCUCUCGAAAAUGGGUUCGACGGAAACCCGCAAAGAAAGCGUUCUACCAGAAGAGGCGAAAAGAAUUCUCCAGUCCCUGGCGUCGGGCUGGGGCGACACGAUAGGCGAAGACCUGCAGGUGAUCCAGCUCAAGGGUGCCAUGACCAACCAGGUGUACCAGAUCAAGUGGCCGAUAAAGGAAGAGGACCACCGCUCGAGGAAGGUGUUGGUGAGGAUUUACGGGGAGGGCGUGGACGUGUUCUUUGAUAGGGAGGACGAGAUCCGGACGUUCGAGCUCGUCUCGAGGCACGGGCAGGGGCCGAGGCUGUUGGGGAGGUUUUCCAAUGGACGUAUCGAAGAGUUCAUUCGUGCUCGGACACUAUCGGCUUCUGAUCUGCUUGACCCAGAUAUAUCUGCCCUGAUAGCAGCCAAAAUGAAGGAGUUUCAUGACCUUGACAUGCCCGGUCCGAAGAAAGUUCUCUUGUGGGAUAGAUUGAGAAAAUGGCUUAAUACUGCCAAAAGUAUGUGUCCCUCCGAAGAAGCUGAGGCCUUCCGCCUAGAUGCCCUGGACGAGGAAAUAUCAACAUUGGAAAAGACUCUUUCGCAGGAUAAUCAACUAAUAGGAUUCUGCCACAAUGAUUUACAGUAUGGUAACAUAAUGAUCGAUGAACAGACCAAGUCAAUAACCAUAAUUGACUACGAGUAUUCAAGUUACAACACUGUUGCCUAUGACAUAGCAAAUCACUUUUGUGAGAUGGCUGCUGAUUACCAUACUGAAACACCUCAUAUUUUGGACUACACCAAAUAUCCUGGUUUGGAGGAGCGCCAAAGAUUCCUGCGUAUUUAUCUGAGUUGUUCAGGUAAUCAACCUAGUGAUGUAGAAAUCGAGAAGCUUAUUCAAGAUGUUGAGAAGUAUGCUCUGGCAAGCCAUCUGCUAUGGGGAUUAUGGGGAAUAAUAUCGGUAUUAUUCUCCUCCUUUUUGAGCACGUUAAUGAAAUUGACUUUGAUUACAUGGAGUACGCAAGGCAAAGGCUUCAACAGUACUGGCUAAGGAAGCCUGAGUUGGGUUCUUCUGGAUCUUCCCCCUGAUGUUGUCGAUGAUGGUAAGAAUAUUAUCUUGAAUCUUGGCUUAGAAACCUUUCUGAUCGGCUACCAGUAGGCGCCUUCUUGAUGAGUACUUGCAACACUUUUUUAGCAUGGAAAGUUUGUCGAUUUCGUUGGUGUUCGAUUGCCACAUUCAUAUCGAAGUCAAAAUAAAGAAUCCUCUUUAUGAAGGGGGUAAAUGACCCAGAAGAAUGCAUUAUACACUGAUGUACAGUAGUCUGUUUAUUGUGUAUCUAUUGUGCAGGAGUCCUUCCUGCCAUGGCUUCAUGUUGUCUUGAUUCUUUUUGAUGUAAUGAAUCGACGUUAGCAUUGUGUUCUUGGAGCAUUAUUUAUGAAUCACGGGACUUGUUAAUUUUA